CGGGCCUUUACAGGUCUGGCAAUUGGAAUGAGAACAAUUUAAAUCCCUUAUCGAGUAUCAAUUGGAGGGCAAGUCUGGUGCCAGCAGCCGCGGUAAUUCCAGCUCCAAUAGCGUAUAUUAAAGUUGUUGCAGUUAAAAAGCUCGUAGUUGGAUUUCUGGCAGGAGCGUCCGGUCUCACACUCAGUGCGGGAACUUGGAUGUCUCUGGCCAUCUUUGGGGAUAUCCUGUUUGGCAUUAAGUUGUCGGGCAGGGGAUACCCAUCGUUUACUGUGAAAAAAUUAGAGUGUUUAAAGCAGGCUUAUGCCGUUGAAUAUAUUAGCAUGGAAUAAUAAGAUAGGACGUAGGUACUAUUUUGUCGGUUUGCGCACCCACGUAAUGAUUAAUAGAGACAGGCGGGGCUAUUCGUAUUGCAUUGUCAGAGGUGAAAUUCUUGGAUUUCUGCAAGACGAACUACUGCGAAAGCAUUUAGCAAGGAUGUUUUCAUUAAUCAAGAACGAAAGUUAGGGGAUC
rnacentral:rRNA from 1 species